rnacentral:pre_miRNA from 1 species
UCUUAUGGAUGAGCAAAGAAAGUGGUUUCUUGAGAUGGAAUCUACUCCUGGUGAAGAUGCCGAUAA